GGAGCUAUUUUAUGCUGUAAAAACAGCCACACGGGGGGAGAGCAGGAUGGCCAGGACGCCCUGAAGCGCCGCCGGGGGGCGGGGGCGGCAGCGCUUGCUGCUGGCACAGCCGGUCCGAGCAGCCAGAACCAGGACAAGCGGGAACUCCAGGCCCAGAGUCCCCGACAGCUGGCUAGGCCUUAGGAAACGGUCACAGAGUUUUAGGUUCACAGCAAAGUUAAGAGGAAGGUACAGAUUUCCCCUAGAGCCCCCGCCACCAGAGUGUCGAUGUGUUUUAACUGACAAAGGUAAACCGAGGCAUCAUCACCCGGCGUCCCGAGUUUGCCGGAGGGCUCACUCGUGGUCCUGUGCCGUCUGUGGGUCUGCACAAACGGUUUACCUUCUCCAGAAUGUCCCAGAGUUGGAAUCAUCUGUAGCCUUUUCAGAUCCGAUGCCUUCACGCGGCAGUGCGCAUUUACGGUUCCCCCACGUCUGUUCGUGACUGAAGGUGGGUGUCCCAGGGCGUUCGGCCAGGCACCGGGCAGCCCCCCGGGUGUGGCCAUCACACAUAAAGCCGUAAACAUCGUGUGCAGGUUCUGGGCGGACAGAGGUUUUCAGGUCGGGGUAAGUACCAAGAGUGCGACG